GCGCCCCUCGCGACUUCCGCCAACUAGCCGUUUCAUCUGGGAUCAACAAGGAGGUUCUCACCGGCGGAACUCCGCUCUAGGCGUUUCAUCCGGGAUCACAUCCCCCCUCCUUUCAGCCCCGCCUCCCGAUUGAGCUCUGCGCCAGACGCUUCAUUCGGGAUCGCGCAUCCUCGCGCUCUUCUCCCUUGUAUUCCUUCCCUCCCCUUCUCCUGGGGAGGACCGGAAGAUCCCUUGGAGGUGGCGUUCCUCUGGAGGUA
rnacentral:lncRNA from 1 species